GUUGAAGACAGGAUGUCCGCGCGCUGAACACAUAGGCACGUGAGACGAAGACCCGGUGAACUGAAACAUCUUAGUAGCCGGAGGAAAAGAAAACAAUUUGAUCUUUUAUCUAGGUUGGUGACCUUUCACCGAUUUGGAUAAGAGAUUUCCAUUCCCUGAGUAGUGGCGAGCGAAAAGGGAGCAGCCCAAACCAUCAAGACCACGUACGUAUUUUUUCACUUCGGUGAGACAACGCGUGCUGAAGGAAUUAGGUCCAUAUGUCUUAGUGGUGUUGCAAGAUAGCCGUGCUCACUACCUAAUGCGGUGAGGUGAUUUCGUAUUUUAUUAGUUGAAUUGAGUUGGAAAACUCGGCCAGAGACGGUGAUAGCCCGGUAAACGAAAAUAAUUUACGCGUCAUGAUGGCAUAUUCUUAAGUACUGCGGGACUCGUGAAAUCCCGUAGGAAUCUGGGUCGACUAUGACCCAAGGCUAAAUAUUUCUUGAGAUCGAUAGUGAACUAGUACCGUGAGGGAAAGGUGAAAAGCAUCCCGGUGAGGGAGAUGAAAUAGUAUCUGAAACCAUAUACUUACAAGCAGUCGGAGCCUUAGUUUACUAGGGUGACGGCGUGCCUAUUGAAGAAUGAGCCAACGAGUUUGUUGUAUGCGGCUUGAUUAAUCCGCUUGAAGCGGAGCAGUCACAGUGAAAGCGAGGGUUAACCCCCGUACUCUUACUUAUUAGAAACGACAGUAAGGCUUCGGCUUUAUCGUCUUUCUAAUAUGUAAGAAGGUCGCAUGCACAAGACCCGAAGCCGGGUGAUCUAACCAUGGCCAGGUUGAACCUUGUAGAAAUACAAGGGGAGGACCGAACCCGUAAGUCGUGCAACACUUUGGGAUGAGCUGUGGUUAGCGGAGAAAUUCCAAUCGAACUCGGCAAUAGCUGGUUCUCCUCGAAAUAGCUUUAGGGCUAGCCUCGAGCGCUGAACGUAGGGGGUAGAGCACUGAAUGGGAACGGGCCGCAAGGUACCUUUCUCAACCAAACUCCGAAUACCUACGCGUGCAGCUCGGGAGUCAGACUAUGGGCGCUAAGGUCCAUUAGUCUAAAGGGAAACAGCCCAGAUCGCCAGCUAAGGUCCCUAAAUAUAUGCUAAGUGUAAAAGGUGGUGUCGUGACUGCGACAACUAGGAGGUUGGCUUAGAAGCAGCCAUCCUUUAAAGAUAGCGUAAUAGCUCACUAGUCUAGUCGUCUCGCGCCGAAAAUGUACCGGGGCUAAGCAUAUUACCGAAGAUGCGGGCUUGCCACGCAAGUGGUGAGCGGUAGAGGAGCAUUCCAAGACCGCUGAAGUCGCAACGUGAGUUGUGGUGGAGGGCUUGGAAGAGAGAAUGUUGGCAUAAGUAGCACAAAGGCGGGUGAAAACCCCGCCCACCGAAAAUCUAAGGGUUCCUGGGCAACGCAAAUCGACCCAGGGUGAGUCGGUCCUAAGGCGAGGCUGCUGUAGUGGCAGCGUAGUCGAUGGAUGAGCUGGUUAAUAUUCCAGCACUACUGUAAUUUUCCGAUGGGGGGACAAAGUUUUGAGGUUUGAGCGUCUCUAUGGUAUGGACGUCGCUGGCCGUUAGGAUAGAUCUAGGCAAAUCCGGAUCAAUAUUCCGAGCGGUUGGGGGAAGACAAAGCCUUCGGGUAGCGUCAAUUCAAGCUGAAAGAUUUUCAAGAAAAACCUCUAGGGCUAAGGUUACAGUAACCGUACCGUAAACCGACACAGGUAGAUGAGGCGAGGAGCCUCAGGUGUACGAGAGAACCCUCGUUAAGGAACUCGGCAAAAUAGCGGUCGUAAGUUAGCAAUAAGACCUGCCUGGAGCAAUCCGGGCCGCAGCGAAAGAUUCCAAGUGACUGUUUAGCAAAAACACAGCUCCCUGCUAACUCGCAAGAGGAUGUAUAGGGGGUGAUGCCUGGCCAGUGUCCGAACGUUAAGAGGAGAGGUCAUUUUCCUUCGGGAAGAGAAGCUUUGAAUUGAAGCGCGGAUGAACGCCGGCCGUAACUAUAACGGUCCUAAGGUAGCGAAAUUCCUUGUCGGGUAAGUUCC
rnacentral:rRNA from 1 species